rnacentral:rRNA from 1 species
UACGUAGGUGGCAAGCGUUGUUCGGAAUUAUUGGGCGUAAAGGGCGCGUAGGCGGUUUGUUAAGUCGGUCGUGAAAGCCCGGGGCUCAACCCCGGAGGGUCGACCGAUACUGGCAGACUAGAGUACAGAAGAGGUAACUGGAAUUCCCGGUGUAGCGGUGAAAUGCGUAGAUAUCGGGAGGAACAUCAGUGGCGAAGGCGGCUCACUGGCCCGAUACUGACGCUGAGGUGCGAAAGCGUGGGGAGCAAACAGG